UUAAGGAGAAUGCAACAUGUUCCAGGGCCUCUUACCUGCGUGAUUCAUCAUCCAGGUUUUGCACAAAUUGUCUAAAUCCCUACACACAGAACAUUUAUUGUACCGACUAUAAGCCUUUGAGGUGCAGGACUAGAAUACGCUUGGAGCUUCCUGAUCAGAUCGGUCACAAUUUUGGCUUUCGACGACCCCUGCACUGAAGAUGGCAUGCAAUCACGUCCUCCUUUGAAGGUCUCUCAAACUGUGAUGCCAGGUCCAUUGGAAUCGGGGUUUCCUUCAGCUUAUCUUCAAAUACCUCAUCAAACACAAGCCUGAUCACAUCAUCCACAUAACUGUAGAAAUAUUGCAGUCAAUAAAUCUUUUGUUUUGAUCAUUUAUUUCCCUGCUUCAUACAUUAAGUUUUUAAUUAUGAAUGUAUUUGAAAUAAAACAUUACUGCUUA